UACAGAGGGGGCAAGCGUUGUUCGGAAUUACUGGGCGUAAAGGGCGCGUAGGCGGCCUGUUAAGUCGAACGUGAAAUCCCCGGGCUCAACCCGGGAACUGCGUCCGAUACUGGCAGGCUUGAAUCCGGGAGAGGGAUGCGGAAUUCCAGGUGUAGCGGUGAAAUGCGUAGAUAUCUGGAGGAACACCGGUGGCGAGGGCGGCAUCCUGGACCGGCAUUGACGCUGAGGCGCGAAAGCCAGGGGAGCAAACGGG
rnacentral:rRNA from 1 species